rnacentral:rRNA from 1 species
CUUCUACCUCUAAUGGCUUUUUUUAUAUCCCAGGAAAAGUAUAUCCAGGAUCUUCUUGCUCGUGCUGCUCUUACUGACGAGCGCAUUGUUGAGACUCCUAUGGAGCUCAAUGUUCACCUCCGUGCUACUGAUGGUGAUCCUCUCCCUGACCCGACGCGUUAUCACCAUCUUGUUGGCAGUCUUGUCUAUCUAGCUGUCACUCGUCCGGACAUCUCUUAUCCGGUUCAUAUUCUGAGUCAGUUUGUCUCUGCUCCCACAUCGGUUCACUAUAGUCAUCUCCUUCAUGUUCUCCGAUAUCUUCGGGGCAUGAUCUCUCACCGUCUAUUCUUUCCUCGCUCCAGUUCUUUACAGCUUCAGGCCUAUUCGGAUGCUACAUGGGCUAGUGAUCCUUCAGAUCGCCGUUCACUUACUGCUUACUGUGUUUUUCUUGGUGGUUCUCUCAUUGCCUGGAAGACGAAGAAACAGAUUGCAGUUUCCCGUUCGAGUGCCGAGGCUAAGUUGCGAGCAAUGGCUCUUUUGACGGCAGAGGUGACUUGGUUACGGUGGUUACUUCAGGAUUUUGGUGUUUCUGUCACU